GUCGAUCCUGCCGGAGGUUACUGCUAUCGAGGUUCGACUAAGCCAUGCGAGUCGAAUGUAGCAAUACAUGGCGUCCCGCUCAGUAACACGUGGAUAACCUACCCUUGAGACGGGGAUAAACCCGGGGAACUGGGUAUAAUACCCGAUAGAUCUCGACUGCUGGAAUGCGUCGAGCUUUAAAGCUCCGGCGCUCAAGGAUGGAUCUGCGGCCUAUCAGGUAGUAGUGGGUGUAGCGUACCUACUAGCCUACGACGGGUACGGGUUGUGAGAGCAAGAGCCCGGAGAUGGAUUCUGAGACACGAAUCCAGGCCCUACGGGGUGCAGCAGGCGCGAAAACUUUACAAUGCUGGAAACAGCGAUAAGGGGACCUCGAGUGCCAGGUUACAAAUCUGGCUGUCGUGAUGCCUAAAAAGCAUUGCAUAGCAAGGGCCGGGCAAGACCGGUGCCAGCCGCCGCGGUAACACCGGCGGCUCGAGUGGUAACCGUUAUUAUUGGGUCUAAAGGAUCUGUAGCCGGCCGGAUAAGUCUCUUGGGAAAUCUGGCAGCUUAACUGUCAGGCUUUCAGGAGAUACUGUCUGGCUCGAGGCCGGGAGAGGUGAGAGGUACUUCAGGGGUAGGGGUGAAAUCUUGUAAUCCUUGAAGGACCACCGAUG
rnacentral:rRNA from 1 species